UAUAGGGUAAACAUCCAAUUAAAAGGCAGAUAUUGGCUAUCCUUGGGGAGGCCAGCAAAUUUCCGGAUAAGGGAAGCUGGUGGGCAGGAAAAAGGCAUGCAAUGGCCCUCAUGAGCCAGAAGAAUAGCUGCUGACUGAUGCCUGGGGGACCAAGCCCAUAAUUGUGGAGCUGGAGCCGCACUGUGUCCCUUGCUUCAGUCUGAUCUUUGGGGAGCCUGCACAGUUCUGACCUCAGUUAAGAGCUAAGGGAAGAGAUUUGGGAAUGUUUGGCCCUGUGUAACAGCAAAAGGAUUCAUUGGUGAGGGUGUCUGGCAGGUAUCCGUAAAGAUAAUAAGAUGAAGGGAACAUCGCCGUUUGGAAAGUGUCGUGAUAUGAUACACAAGUUGUGCUGCCUCUGUGGCUCUAAGGCAUACCACCUUCAGAAGUCAACCUGUGGCAAAUGUGGCUCCCCUGCCAAGCGCAAGAGAAAGUGUAACUGGACUGCCACGGCUAAAAGAAAAUACCACGGCGACUGGUUGAAUGAAGCACCUAAACAUUGUAUACUGCAGAUUUAGGCAUGGAUUCUUUGCAGGAACAACACCUACACCCAAGAGGGCAGCAGUUGUGUCAUCCAGUUCAUCUUAAGAAUUUCAAUGAUUAGUCACACAAUAAAUAUUCCGGUUUUUAAAAAUGUAUAUAUUUUAAACAUAUAUAUGUUUAUAUGUAUAUGUUAUAUCUGUAUUACAUAUAUGUGAAAAGAGGCAGAGAUUGUCAGAUUGGAUUAAAAAGCUGUCUGUAAG
rnacentral:lncRNA from 1 species